rnacentral:ncRNA from 1 species
CAAUGACUGAUGAUGAGAAAUAGUAUGUCUUAUGGGAAUGUCUUAGCGAGUCAGAGGCGGUGAGAGUCUGAUACAAAUCUCUUAGACAGAAUGGUUCUCAGAGGUGUGAUCCGAAAGCUGUUACAGUUAGUAGGUGAUCCGGGGGUUUCCCGUUACAGAGACAAGGGUAUCGAGAAAAUUUUUCUCCGUACCUGAUAGAUUAGAGGUAUUUGGUGGUUUGUUUGCAUAAGUUCGAUCAGCAGUGAUUGGAUUUGUAAAAAAAAUUACCCUAUACGAAUUAAGGUGGUACCACGGAGCAUUCCGUCCUUUUA